UACAGAGGUCUCAAGCGUUGUUCGGAUUCAUUGGGCGUAAAGGGUGCGUAGGUGGCGCUGUAAGUCGGGCGUGAAAUUUCGGAGCUUAACUCCGAAACUGCAUUCGAUACUGCGGUGCUUGAGGACUGGAGAGGAGACUGGAAUUUACGGUGUAGCGGUGAAAUGCGUAGAUAUCGUAAGGAAGACCAGUGGCGAAGGCGGGUCUCUGGACAGUUCCUGACGCUGAGGCACGAAGGUCAGGGGAGCAAACGGG
rnacentral:rRNA from 1 species